UCUUCACUGAGGCACGGCUAGUGAUGUG
rnacentral:sRNA from 1 species